GAUGAACGCUGGCGGCGUGCCUAAUACAUGCAAGUCGAGCGAAUGGAUUAAGAGCUUGCUCUUAUGAAGUUAGCGGCGGACGGGUGAGUAACACGUGGGUAACCUGCCCAUAAGACUGGGAUAACUCCGGGAAACCGGGGCUAAUACCGGAUAACAUUUUGAACCGCAUGGUUCGAAAUUGAAAGGCGGCUUCGGCUGUCACUUAUGGAUGGACCCGCGUCGCAUUAGCUAGUUGGUGAGGUAACGGCUCACCAAGGCAACGAUGCGUAGCCGACCUGGGAGGGUGAGCGGCCAAGCUGGGACUGAGACACGGCCCAGGCUCCUACGGGAGGCAGCAGUAGGGAAUCUUCCGCAAUGGACGAAAGUCUGACGGAGCAACGCCGCGUGAGUGAUGAAGGCUUUCGGGUCGUAAAACUCUGUUGUUAGGGAAGAACAAGUGCUAGUUGAAUAAGCUGGCACCUUGACGGUACCUGACCAGAAAGCCACGGCUAACUACGUGCCAGCAGCCGCAGUAA
rnacentral:rRNA from 1 species